rnacentral:rRNA from 1 species
UACGUAGGUGGCAAGCGUUGUCCGGAAUUAUUGGGCGUAAAGCGCGCGCAGGCGGUCCUUUAAGUCUGAUGUGAAAGCCCACGGCUCAACCGUGGAAGGUCAUUGGAAACUGGAGGACUUGAGUACAGAAGAGGAAAGCGGAAUUCCACGUGUAGCGGUGAAAUGCGUAGAGAUGUGGAGGAACACCAGUGGCGAAGGCGGCUUUCUGGUCUGUAACUGACGCCGAGGCGCGAAAGCGUGGGGAGCAAACAGG